CAAAUGGAUAUUCACUUUCUAAAAAUAUGUAGUUGAAAUUCCGAUUAAUAACAGUAAUACAUAUUUUUGGGAUUUGAUUUUAAGAUACUGAUUUGGCAAAUUGACGUGCACAUCUUGGAUUUGGAUCUCUGAACUUUCACGGAAUGGAUCAACUUUUAAACUGCUUUUUGGAUGAUUUGAUUCGUGGGCUUAUAAUGUUUGUAGUUUGUGCUAUGAGAAACUUACGUGGUAAAAAAAAAAAAAAUUGCAGCCAUUUGGAUAGUGUAGAAUUAUCACCUACAGUUCUGUGUUCAUUGGAAUCCAAUACCUACUUCAACUUGUACACAAAGUUGUAAAUUUAUUUCUUGUACUGUGGGCUUUUUUAAGAGUUAACAUAAGUUUCACAAAUGAAAUGAAGAAUGAAAAUGUCAUCAAAUAGAUGAAAUUGAUAUUACGUGGGUGGAUCAAGCGAGAGCAACUUUUAGUUAACCUUUUGUGCAUUUGAAUUUGCUAUGAUAUUUGGAUUUUGGACACCAUGUUUGAAAAAGGGAAAAUUUAGGCUCAUAGUAGUGGGAUUUGUGUGUAUGGUGUAAUUAUUAAAGGCGCAAUGCACCAUAGCGUAUGCCGUAGUUAUUAAGGUGCAAGGCGUACUAUGGUGCAAAGGGCACUUGGAGCCUAGGUGCAAGGUGUAUGUGAGCACCUGAGUGACAUUAGGUGCAAAAGAAAAAAAAAAUUUAAUAAAAGGUUAAAUUUAAGAUCAAAUAUUGUAAUAUGAUCAAGAUGUUAGCUCUAUUGUCCAGUUGACUAAAGUUAACAAUCUUCAAUGUUUUAAUUGGAAGUUAAUUAAACACACUAUGCUUGAAGAGAACACUUGUUGGAAAAUUAAACAAAAUCAGAUUCUAAGCACCUAGUGACACACAAAAUAGAUAGUGUUAUUGUUGAAAAAUUAGCAAGUGUUUUAAACAAAUAAUGGAAACAGAAAAUAGAGGAGUUGAGCAGAAAGGAAUAUGAGGGAGAAUGAAAGAGCUCUAAGAACUAGGUAUUAGGGGAAUAUUUUGUGCCCCUGCUAUUUAAGGGGUAAUAUUACUAAAAGCCCCCUUGAGGUUUGUCAAAAUACACAAGUUGGCCUAUGCCAUUUUAAAACCUAGCUAUUUGGUCCCAUGAUUUAAUUUCUUUUAAUUAACAUUCCUAUCCAAAAUCUCUAAUUUCAGCUGUUAGUCAUACAAGAUUUUUUUUUUCAUUAUUUUUUCUGUUUUCUGUUGGUGUAUCUUAAAAUGAUUUUAUUUUUUAUCCGUAACUGCAGGCCUCAUGGAUUAUUGACAAUUCUAUGGGAUGCAAGCGGUUCAAUUGAAAGUUGUUUUUGAAGAGGAAUGCUAAGCAUUUUGGAUUUCUUAGGUAAUGUUUUGAUAUGUACGCGAUACUUGAGUUAAACCAGGAAAUUAUGAAUUUAAAGCUUCAGCUCUUUUUAUCUUGGUUUUGAUGAUUGACAUUGUGCUAUAUUUGAUCGUCUUUUCAUCAUGGGAUUAGUUUUCCUGUAUAUUACUGAUUGGGUCGCAUCUUGGGUCUUUAAUGGAGUUAUCUGAUAGAAAUAUUAAUUUCAAAAAAACAAGAAGCUAAGGACUUGCUUCUGGGUUUUAUGCAUUUGGUAUCAUGCCGAUAAUGUUCUGCCCUAACUGGCUGCCAGAAAAAGUUGGACAAUGCUUUUUUGGUUUACAUUUUGAACUCCAGAGCUUGUUCAAGUUGCAACAUAGAUUAUUUAUACCUAGAGCAAGAGGUCAGUAACCACCAAAAUAGAACCUUGAGUGAGCAUGUAGUCCUUGGUCCUUGGUACCUUUUAAUCCUACUUUUUAUAUUCAAGUUGGAAUGUUAAUUUCUCUAAGCUUUAGAAUCUUGCAUCUCCUAGGUUUGGCAGUAGCCGUAGGAUGAGCCUUGGGAGGAAAAUUAUAUGCGUGUUUUGUACAUUUCAUUCGCAAUAGGGAAAGGCUCAAGCAUGUGCAUAUGAGUUGUUGGCUUGUGGAUGAGGUUGGAG
rnacentral:misc_RNA from 1 species